rnacentral:rRNA from 1 species
UACGUAGGAGGCAAGCGUUGUCCGGAAUUACUGGGCGUAAAGCGCGUGUAGGUGGUGGGACAAGUCUGCUGUGAAAGCGCCUGGCUUAACCGGGCGAGGUCGGCGGAAACUGUCCGACUCGAGGACGGUAGAGGGGGGUGGAAUUCCCGGUGUAGUGGUGAAAUGCGUAGAGAUCGGGAGGAACACCUGUGGCGAAGGCGGCCCCCUGGCCGGCCCUGACACUGAGACGCGAAAGGCGUGGGGGAGCGAACGGGG